UCAGGAUGGCACCACUCUAUAACUUGCCAAGGCACCGGCUGUAAACUUGUUCCUGCAGGGCUAUGAAAAGUCCUGGAUGGAGACAGAGGAGCACUACUUUGAAGAUAAACUCAUAGAAGACCUCGCUAAACCAGGUGAACAGGAGCCAUCUGAGGAAGAGGAGGGGCAGAAACACAAACACAUAGA